AUGAACAUAGUCACAUACCAUUGCAAUAACUGGUUUUGGAAGCUGCCUAAUUUGGACCUACUUGAAGAUGAGCACAAAAGUAAGUAAAAGAUGCAACUUUAUUGGAUUGAAGUUAAGAGAGAGAUCAAAGAUAUAAAUACACCUGCAAGUCCAAAACAUUAAGGCAGCCAAUUUGCUAGUUUUGGAAACGCCUCUUGCAUAUCCUUUGGAUUGGUUAACAAAUGGCUGCGAAGAUCACGGUUGUUCCUCUAAUAUUGGUCUCCAUUACAACCCCAUCGAUCUUCCUUAGGGUGUUUUUGAUCAAGCUACUUGAGAGUUAUUUUGAAGUGUUGCUGGCAAAGUGAAGAUCAAGUGUUGUUUCAGGUGAAGUGAAUAAAGUGAUGCAUUGGAGUCCCGGGAUUUGGUUUUCACUAAAUUAGGAAUUUGGUCUUGUAUCUAUUUUGAGUACUCAUAACAUUAAUUACUAUUGUGGUUAUUAUUAAUAAAGAAGAGUAUUUGAGUUUCCGCUACAAAGUAUUGUUAUUUAUAGUAAGUUGAGUAGCCUUGCGUAAUCACGCGGCGGUAAUACGCCUAAGUUU